UAACAUUAUUGAUUUUCAAAGCGGAAACAAGAAGGGAGCGCGUUCAUUCUCGAUAACGCCAGCGCUAUUAACUGAACGGUGUACGUGUGGAAGAUCCAUUUUGAUUUUGGAGGAAAGCGCGAAGAAGAGCAGAAUGGAAGAUGUUCCAAGGGGUGGCUUUGGAGGUGGAAGAGGUCGUGGUCGGGGUGGCCCUGGUAGAGGUGGACCACCACGAGGAAGGGGUGGAUACGGUGACGGCAUGAGAGGUUCGAGUCGUGGAAGAGGAAUGAUGCGCGGCGGACCCCCGAGUCGAGGUGGCAGGGGAGGACCUCCCUCAAGGGGGGGUAGUAGUAUGGGCCGUGGUGGAGCAGAUCAUGGAGGAGGUAGUGGUGGAUUCACACCAGGGAGGGGCAGAGGUGGUAUGGGAACAAGAGGCCGUGGUGAAUUCGGUUCUAGAGGUGGUGGUGAUGGAAGAGGAACUUUUACAAGAGGAAGAGGUAGAGGAAUGGACCGCGGUGGAAGAGGACGUGGUGGCUUUGAUAGGGGUGAUAGAGGUGGGAGAGGAGGUGGUGACAGGUAUGGUGGACCUCCAGGUAAGAGAGGAGGUAUGAGCCAAGGAGGCCCAACACCAAAGCGUGGCAGAUUUGAUGGAGGUCCAGGGGCUAAUGGAUACAUGACACAUCCUCCAAGCUAUGGCGGUUAUGAAUCUCAAGUGUUACCAACGUCCAAUAACUAUUCAUCACCCAGUGCUUCAUAUUAUGGGGGAGAUCCAAAUGCAUAUCAGCCCCAGUCAUUCCCACCUGAGCACGGUUCUGCUCAUUAUGAUGCUCCAGUAAAUGAACCACCUGCAUAUGGUGCACCACCAUAUGGACCAGGAUCGGGUUCAAAUCAGUCAUAUGGGGGUGGCUAUACAAGCUCAGGCUAUGAUGGCGGAGAUUAUGCAUAUAAUGCUCCACCGCCAGAUACACGAACAGGUUACGGUGCUCCUCCCCCAGCACCUUCUGGUGGCUAUUCAGCUGCACCACCAGAGCCGUAUCCAUCCUACAACAAACCAGCACCAGCUCAUGAUGCGUAUGGUGGUGGUUACAGCAGUGGUGCUGGAUACAACACUGCAUCUGGUUAUGAUGAUAGAGGAUAUUCAACAGGUGCUUAUGGUGUUUGGAGACCUCUGGGAUAAAGCAUUUCUCACUGCUGCCUCUGCUCCUCUACAUGGGAAGAAACAUAGGUAAAGAAAUGCGACUGUGUAAGACUCCUCCUAGCAUCUAUAAUCGUUGGUCGGUUUGGAAAUACAUAUUGAUCUUGCAUAUAAUAUUGUUGUUGGAAGGAAAGCAAGCAAGCUGUCUUACAAUUGAGCACAAUUUGUCAGCAAAAACAGUUAGUACACUCAGCUGAGCUGACAUUCUUAGCAGUGAGUUGGAAAAUGCUGUGAUAGCAGUAUAAAAAAGAAAAAAGAUGCGUUAAGAAGAAAGCAAAGAAAUUUGAUCAGUUGUUACAGGUAGGUAUCAAAGUAGGAAAAACAAAAUACUGACAUUGCUGAAAAGAAUAGAUUGUGUUGCAUGUGGGGCACAGGAAGUGAUAGAAGGGAUUUGAAUUGUUGUGAUUUGGGAGUAUAUGGACACACACACAUAGUUUUUAUAAUGUAAUUCAGUGAUUUGGGAGAAUAGAUGGAUUCACACAAAGCCUUUAUAUUGUAAUACAUGAUGCCACUCCUAUUACAAUGUACCAGAGCAUGGCAGUAGUGUAUAAGUUUAUAAUGAAUUUCCUUUUGUGUCUUGAGAGAAUGCAGUUACGGUUAUUAAACUCUGUAAAAACAUUAAAAGGAAGUACAUACAGGGUAUGAUCAAUUAGUAGUAGGACUGAAUUUCUGUAGCGCGAACAGAGCAGUGGAGGGGAUUGGACCAUCUGGGCGUCAUAGUUAGGAACCUUCCGGAGUGAGUGAUAUUUUUUCCAGUUACAUGCAGGAAAACGGUGAGGAGCACAUCGGUUUUUGUGGUCCUCCGAUCCAUAGUGUGGUCGCGUUUAGAGAUGGAGAAAAAUCUGCGUGAAACUUGGGAAAACCUCAAUGGAGACUCUUGGAAUGAUUAAGGACGCCUACAGGGAUAUUCCCCUGAACUGCUCAACACUGUUAGUGGCACAAGCUGUUUCUAGAGGGGUGGGAGCUCGUUGGAGAUGACCAGCACACCGGUCCCCCAUCAUCCUACAAGGAUUGAUGAAAAUGUGGCCAAAGUGAAAGUGCUCCUGGACUCUGGCGGGCGCUUAAACAUUCAUCUGAUGGUGAUGCAUUGGGGAUGUUGUAAGGUGCCAUACAAAAAAUUGUUACCGAGGAUUUGCCCAUGCGAAAGCUGUGCACUAAGUUUAUGCUUAAAAUCCUGAGUGACAAACAAAAACUGAAUUGUGUGCAAAUUUCCCAGGAGAUUCUGAACUGUGUCCAAUAAACCCCAAAUUUUCUUCACAAUUUGAUUACCAGUGACGAAUUGUGGUGUUUAGAGUACAACCCAGAGACCAAACACCAGAGUGCUGAGUGGCACAUUGCCCUUUUUUUUUCUGGUAGGGUGUGGUUCACUGGGAGCUGUGUGAAUGCUAAAUGUUAUGUGGAAGUGCUUAAAAGGUUGUGCAAAUUUGUCCUCAGAGUAUGGCCAGACUGCUGCUUGUUGGAAGCUGCACCAUGACAACAUGCCAUGUCACAGCAUGCUGCGGAUGUUGGAACACGUGGCCAAGCACAGGGUUGCCACAUUGCCUCACCCUCCUUAGUCCAGGUCUGAUUUCUUCCUCUCCAACAGAACCUCAGUGGAUACCAAUUCGGCUCCGUAGAAGGCGUCCAAAAUGUUGUGACAGUGUCCCUAAAGAGGAUCAUGGAAAGCAAGUUCCAGAAGGCAUACGUGCAGUGGGAAUCGCGUCAUACGCUUUGUCGAAGUACGAGGGUGCUACUUCGAGGAAUUUUAAGGAUUAGUACCAGGUAAUUCAUUAAAAAUAUUGAAAUUAAUUCAGUUCUGCUUCUUACUGAUUAAACCCUGU